UAUGUGAUCGUCUCUCGCAUAUCAAUAAGCGGAGGAAAAGAAACUAACGAGGAUUCCCCUAGUAACGGCGAGUGAAGCGGGAAGAGCUCAAAUUUGAAAUCUUAAAGGGUUUCCCUUUACGAAUUGUAGUUUAAAGAAGUGUUUUCUGUUGAGGUUUUGGUAAAAGUUCUUUGGAAUAGGACAUCAUAGAGGGUGAGAAUCCCGUAUUUGACCUUUACUUUCAACUCUGUCGAUACACUUUCAAAGAGUCGGAUUGUUUGGGAAUACAGUCCAAAAUGGGUGGUAAAUUUCAUCUAAAGCUAAAUAUUGGCGAGAGACCGAUAGCGAACAAGUACCGUCGAGGGAAAGAUGAAAAGAACUUUGAAAAGAGAGUUAAACAGUACGUGAAAUUGUCAAAAGGGAAGCGUUUGACACCAGUGUUGUUUUUCUGAAAAUCAAUUAAAGAACUGUUUAUGCUAAGUUGUUUAGACUUUAUCAGCUAACUGUUUAGUUUUGAGCUUUUCUUUAAUGCACUUUUCAGUUAACAAGUCAACAUCAAUUUCUUUUGCUGUAAAAAAGCUUGAGGAAGGUGGCUUGAGAUUCGUCUUAAGUGUUUAUAGCCUCUUGCCUAUGCAGUCGGAGAGAUUGAGGUCUGCAGCGUAGAUCCUUCGGGGCUAAAUGCAUUUGUGCUAAGUUAUAGCAUUUUAUAGACAACUUGUUGACUAUGAUUUGUCUUGUAGCUUACUCGCUUAUGUUAUUUUACCUACGCUUAGGAUGUUGAUCUACAGAGCGAGAGU
rnacentral:rRNA from 1 species